UAAGACGAACUGUGCAAACGUUAUUCGGAAUCACUGGGCUUAAAGGGUGCGUAGGCGGUCUUGUAAGUAGGGUGUGAAAGCCCCCGGCUCAACCGGGGAACUGCGUCCUAAACUGCGAGGCUUGAGUGAGGUAGGGGUGUGUGGAACUUCCAGUGGAGCGGUGAAAUGUGUUGAUAUUGGAAGGAACGCCGGUGGCGAAAGCGACACACUGGACCUUGUCUGACGCUGAGGCACGAAAGCCAGGGGAGCAAACGGG
rnacentral:rRNA from 1 species